UUUUUUUUUUCUGAAAUUCAAAAAUUCAAAAAUUCUGAAAUUCAAAAAUUCGAAAAUUCGAAAAAACAAAAAAAUUCCCUAGGCCUCCUCUUCUUUGGGCCUAACAAAUUUCAUAACAAAUAUAUAUAAAGAAGGAGUUUUGGGCUAUCACUUAGAAAGGAAGUGCCUUAUUCGUCAACUCCCUCGACCGGAGACUUGGGGGACUCCUACCUAUGCUACUGCACCUUGAUACUCGGAAGUCUCACGGCCACUUAGUGACUUGGAUUUUUCAAGUCUCAAAACGAGAAGUUUUCGUCACUCGGGAAAUUAAGGGAGCACUACCUCAACCUACAUGCUUCACUCACAAAGCUUCAACAUACAAGCUUCAACAAAAGGAAAAAUUCAAAGAACUUAGUGAAGAAGGCCUUGGUGUAUUUAACACAAUACGUUGAAAUGAAGCAAGGCUUGUUUAUUGAUAUCUCCGAUAAGUUAUACAAAUAUGUACAUAUACAUGAAUCAAAAUAAACAAACAAGAGGGAGCCUUCACAAAGGUUGCUCAGAAGAAGUCUCAGCGGUCGGUAGAGCCCCAGAAAGAGGAGGCACCAGAGGGUGAUUAUUCGAAGCCUUAGUACUAGGCAGAACCCAGAAGGAGGAGGCACCGAAGGUUGAUCAUUUGGAGCUUCAUUACGCGGUACAGCCCCAGAAGACGAAGGCAAUAAAUGCUUUUGGAAUAAACCCACAAACCUCUGAUGAUCAAG
rnacentral:lncRNA from 1 species